GAUGAACGCGUGGCGGCGUGCCUAACACAUGCAAGUCGAGCGGAAGCGAUCUGAUGGAAGUUUUCGGAUGGAAGUCAGAUUGACUGAGCGGCGGACGGGUGAGUAACGCGUGGGUAACCUGCCUCAUACAGGGGGAUAACAGUUAGAAAUGGCUGCUAAUACCGCAUAAGCACACAGGACCGCAUGGUCCGGUGUGAAAAACUCCGGUGGUAUGAGAUGGACCCGCGUCUGAUUAGCUAGUUGGUAAGGUAACGGCUUACCAAGGCGACGAUCAGUAGCCGACCUGAGAGGGUGACCGGCCACAUUGGGACUGAGACACGGCCCAAA
rnacentral:rRNA from 1 species